UAUAUGAUGCUUUGCAGCACUAGAUGACAUAUUUUUUGAAUGAAAGUUGUAAUUUUUUAACGUUCUUUUUCUUUUGCUUCUAUUCUUUCUUUACUUCUGUAAUUUUUAAUUUACCUAGAUCUCGUUAUCUAAAUUUUUAUAACUAAAUUUACUUGCCGAAUAAAUAAAACUAGUAGUGUAGUACCUUCAUCACAAAAAAUUUCUCUUUUAUUUCUGUUCUUUCUUUUUCUCUGUAGUUUUUUUGACUUACUUAAUGUUGGGAAUCUGGUACUCGCCCCGGUACUGGAUCUCGUGAAUUCGCAACCCGCUCCGAUAUCGACUGCUGUGGAUCCGGUAUCGAUUGUUGAGAUUCCGCAACGGAAACGUCAAAUUAGAUUUUUACCAUAAACCCAUCUUCUCAGCAAAAGCUGAUACAAUCUUAAAAGAGAAAAAUAUGCAGGUAAAAUAAGAUUCAUUAAAUAAGAGAAUAUUACACCUGACUCCUCUUCUGCACAGAGUAGCUACAACCCAAGCCCUCUCUCUGAAUCUCUCCUACCCUUCUCUCGUCUUCUAUACUCUCAGAAAACAUCUCUUUCAUCCUGUGCAUCCGUGCACAAGGUAUACCAAUGACCCACGGCUACGAAAGCCGCACACGUCCUCUUGCACCCAUGCACUAGGUGCAACCAAAAUCAUGACCAUAUUGGCCAUGCCAUAUGGGUGUGGCUAACCCAUACCACCACCACCACCGAAACAAUAGCCAUAUGCUAUAUUUAUAGCUUACAUCAAAAGCUACCCAAAUCCUAGUAUAAUUAGGAUUCCUACUCCGAUAAAUAUUUAAAUCUACAUUUGUUUAUCUCCAAUAGAUUUAAAUAUUUAUCCUAAUCUAGUUAGAUUUAUACUCUAAUUAAUAUUUAAAUCUUAAUUUAUCUCAAACAGAUUUAAAUAUUAAUUCUUAUCCAAAUAGGAUUUAACUACAAAUCUUACCAAAUCCUAACAUUCUCCACCUUGGUUUGAUUUGUAAUUUUCAACCGCUACGUCGAGCUCACCAUACAAGCUCCACCUUGAGCUUGUCUCCUCCGCUCGAUGUCACCGCAUCCGUCGCUCCGUCUCGAGCAACUGCACAUCCGCGAACUUUCGGAACACAAACCGUCUUCGCUCCCGUUCUGACUAUGCUUCUGUUCAGAACGUAUAAGUUCUCACGCUUGUUCGCCUCGCAUACGACCCGAUCUCGCUUUCGGACCCUCAUAGCUCCACUUGAAGCCGAAAAAUCACAACCCUUCGAGUCCAACGCGCCUAAACGAGAUCAAAUUGUGCUUUAAACAUCGAUCGCUUUGAAUGAUCGGUAACACCGUGCUCUAACAUCGAUCUUCUACAAGGAUCAGAAAUCCAGUGCUUUGACGUUGAUCUUUCCCAAAGAUCGGUAACCUUCAGCUCUGAUACCACUUGUUGGGAAUCCGGUACUCGCCCCGGUACUGGAUCUCGUGAAUCCGCAACCCGUUCCGAUACCGACUGCUGUGGAUUCGGUAUCAAUUGUUGGGAUUCCGCAACGGAAACGUCAAAUCAUAAACUCGUCUUCUCAGCAAAAUCUGAUACAAUCAUAAAAGAGAAAAAUAUGCAGGUAAAAUAAGAUUUAUUAAAUAAGAGAAUAUUACACCUGACUAAAGAUGUCCGUGGACCGGGUCGGGUCUGGAUAAUUAAUAUACUGUACCCAUACCCUAAAAAGAAAUGGUUACAAAAAAAUAUAUAUACCCUACCUAUUUAACUUUGGGUCGGGUUCGGAUUUGGGUACUAAAGUUACUAAUAUACCCAUCGGGUCUAUUUGAGCGGGUUUGGGUAGUGACUACCCGUAUACUACCCGUUCAAGACCGGAUAUGAAUCGGGUCUAGAUCGGAUACGGAUAUCCGUAUAAAUAUAUAUUUUUUUAUAAACUUUAUUAAAUAGUCAAUAGACAAACUAUAAAGCCCACCAUAAAAAAACUCGCAUUCUAAUAAGUUGUACCGUCCAAUAAAAUUCAUUCAAAAAAAAUAUUGUCGCUGAUGAUGAUGAUGAUGACACUGAUGAUAAUGAUGACAAUGAAAUAUUGUUGGCGGAAAUGAAAUGAAAAAAAAAAGGAGUAGAAAACAAAGAGUAAAAAAAAUAGAAAAAAGUAAUGAGUAAAAGAGACGGCUAGGAUUUCAUUAGGAUGAAAAUACGUAGUGACUCAUCAUCUAUAAGUCAUAUUAAAAUUGAUCCUUCAACUUCAAAAGUUUAUUUUUUUUUAUUUACUAUCGGAUAUUUCAUCGGGUCCGAGUCCGGGUCCGGGUCCGGAUUUGAAAACUAUUCCGAACCCUACAUAUUUAAAAGUUAGGUUCGGGUAGUGUCCAAAUCGAGUAUGGGUAUAAAAUAUCCGGACCCAUAUCCGAAACUUUAAUGGGUAAUUUUUUUUAUUCGUAUACUAUUCAUUUUUUAUCGGGUCCGGUUCGGGUCCGGAUAGGGUCCGGGUCGGGUAUGGGAUAUCGGAUAUUUUGGACACCUUUACACCUGACUCCUCUUCUGCACAGAGUAGCUACAACCCGAGUCCUCUCUCUAAAUCUCUCCUACCCUUCUCUCGUCUUCUAUACUCCCAUAAGACAUCUCUUUCAUCUUGUACAUCCGUGCACAAGGUAUACCAAUGACCCACGGCUACGAAAGCCGCACACGUCUUCUUGCACCCAUGCACUAGGUGCAACCAAAAUCAUGACCAUAUUGGCCAUGCCAUAUGGGUGUGGCUAACCCAUACCACCACCACCACCAAAACAAUAGCACAUAUGCUAUAUUUAUAGCUUACAUCAAAAGCUAUCCAAAUCCUAGUAUAAUUAGGAUUCCUACUCCGAUAAAUAUUUAAAUCUAUAUUUGUUUAUCUCCAAUAGAUUUAAAAUAUUUAUCCUAAUCUAGUUAGAUUUAUACUCUAAUUAAUAUUUAAAUCUUAAUUUAUCUCAAACAGAUUUAAAUAUUAAUUAUUAUCCAAAUAGGAUUUAACUACAAAUCUAACCAAAUUCUAACACUUAAGGCCUCAUUGUCUUAAUUUCUAUAACUAAAUUUAUUUACCAAAUGUACGCUACUUUUAUUUUUUUAAUAAAAUUAUCUAUUACUUUGGUAAGAGAUUUAUGAAACAUGCGAUUAUAUAUAUAGAAAGAGAGAGAGAAAGAGAAUUAAGCUAGAAUACUUUUAGAAGUAUCACUCCUUUGGUAUUUCUAAGUUUUUAGCUCUUGGAUCUACUCCUUGAUUACUAAUAGCCCUUGGAUCAAACACUAUUCCAUCUACCACCAUCUAUCACCAUCAUCCCAAUCUUAUAUUUCUUGAUCUAAAAGUUAAAAACUCAAAAGUACCACCCUCUUGAUGGUUUUGAGAGUAUUCUAGCUCAACUAUAUAUAUAUAUAUAUAUAUAUAUAUAUAU
rnacentral:lncRNA from 1 species